rnacentral:rRNA from 1 species
GACGAACGCUGGCGGCGUGCUUAACACAUGCAAGUCGAACGGAAAGGCCCUGCUUUUGUGGGGUGCUCGAGUGGCGAACAGGUGAGUAACACGUGAGUAACCUGCCCUUGACUUUGGGAUAACUUCAGGAAACUGGGGCUAAUACCGGAUAGGAGCUCCUGCUGCAUGGUGGGGGUUGGAAAGUUUCGGCGGUUGGGGAUGGACUCGCGGCUUAUCAGCUUGUUGGUGGGGUAGUGGCUUACCAAGGCUUUGACGGGUAGCCGGCCUGAGAGGGUGACCGGCCACAUUGGGACUGAGAUACGGCCCAGACUCCUACGGGAGGCAGCAGUGGGAAAUAUUGCACAAUGGGCGGAAGCCUGAUGCAGCAACGCCGCGUGCGGGAUGACGGCCUUCGGGUUGUAAACCGCUUUCGCCUGUGACGAAGCGUGAGUGACGGUAAUGGGUAAAGAAGCACCGGCUAACUACGUG